CUGAACACAAAAUGGCGACACGUGGUUAGCAUUCGUCGCCAACGAGAAAUUGGGGUCGGCCCGAAAGCUCUAGAAUGCACCCCCCUUCUUCCCCGGGGCCUUCCACCUCCGCGAGUUUUAUGACUUAAAAAACCCCACAGGCUGGUCUGAAGAGGAAGACAAACAUAAAGAUGAAGUGCUUAAUUCAAGGUCACACAAUGUCGGGGAUGGACCUCCAGAUUUCCUUACUGACCUGCAUUAUCUUGUGGAUACCUGAGUGAAUUCCACACCACCCAUUUUAUAGAUGAAACCACUGAGACAUGGAGCAACUGACUGAGUAGUCACUGCCCCACCCCUGCCUGGAGCCUCACACAUGACUCGUCUCCUCUCAGUGACCACAGGUUGGUUGAGGGGUUUAACAAGGCUAAGAAGGUGAGACGUGGUCUUGUAACACAGUGGUUAAGAAUGUGACUUUGGAGCCAGCCUGCUAGGGGCUGAAUUCUGACUCAGCCAUUUACUAACUGUGUGACCUUAGGUGGAGUCUCACUCUGUAGCCCAAGCUGGAGUGGUGUGAUCUCGACUCACUGCAACCUCCGCCUCCUGGGCUCAAGUGAUUCUCGUGCCUCAGCCUCCUGAGUAGCUGGGACUACAGGUCACAGAAUUUUCCACACUCCUUGACGGAGGUGCUUAACCCUUAUCCAUCAGCAUUCUCAGACAGCACCUCCGGUUAGGGACAGUAUCUGACCGUCCGACAUCCCUGCAGCCCCCAUGUGUCACACAGACUCAGCCUCAGGUAGAUGGUUUCCGUAGAUGGUGGCUUUCUUUGGACCCUUGACAUCAACCAGUUACUAUUUGACUCUUCUGCAGAACCCCCUGUUGACCCCUGCUUUGAGGUGGCAGAGUUAACACUACUCUUCGUUAUAAGCUCUCGUCUGGGGCAACUCAGAAGAACCUCAGCAAGGCCCACAUUUUCCCGGUGAAGCCACAGAACCACAGGGAGAAACCCAUGGACUUCGCCUCUCUCUCUAGGGGACCAGAUGUGCAGAGGUAAUGAAUACCAGGGAAUCAGGAAACCACUGGAUCAGUUCUUUGAGCCACAGAACAACACUCAUCCCAGCAGCUGGGAAGCUAUCUGCAAAAGUCCAUCUGCAGAAAGGGCUUCCUGGUCUUGCGUGUGGCUGGGCCAUUUCUCUGGAUGCAGGUUUUUCAUUAUACAGUCUUCUCAAAGAAACACCUGCUCUCAACACC
rnacentral:antisense_RNA from 1 species